rnacentral:rRNA from 1 species
UGCCAGCCGCCGCGGUAACACGGGGGGCGCAAGCGUUAUUCGGAAUUAUUGGGCGUAAAGGGCGCGCAGGCGGUCUUGUCCGUCAGGUGUGAAAGCUCGGGGCUCAACCCCGAAAAAUGCACUGGAUACUACUUGGCUAGAGGAUCGGAGAGGAGACUGGAAUUCCUGGUGUAGCAGUGAAAUGCGUAGAUAUCAGGAGGAACACCAAUGGCGAAGGCAAGUCUCUGGACGACACCUGACACUGAGGCACGAAGGCUAGGGGAGCGAACAGGAUUAGAUA